GGCAGUGGUGUAGGGGGAUAGUGUUGGACUGAAAGUCAAGAGAACUGGGUUCUAUUCCCAGCUCUGUCA